rnacentral:ncRNA from 1 species
CAAAUGACAAUGAACGGACGAAGUAGUCGCUUAUCCCUUUUUAAGAGAGCCGAUGGUUGCUGUGAAUCGGUAAAUAUAAGUCAGACGAAUUACAUCCUGGAGUCAAGUCGCGCAGGAUAAUGGCGCGAACGGCAAAAACCGUUAAACAAUGAAGUAAAAGUUGGGUGGUACCGCGUUCAAAUACGUCCCUUCG